AGUAAAGGAUUAAGCCUGCAUGAUGUAGAAGUGAUGUAUCCAUAUAUGUAUAAUAUAGACGAGAAGUUAAACAUUAAACCACCAAUGAGUUACUCUAAACUUGAACUGGUGCAUACCACUGAUCUACAGAAUGGGGAUAUAAUAUCGAACCAGCACGUACAUUAUCAAAUAACAAAUCAAGGAUUAACUAGCCACACAAAUAUUCAAGUUGAGGAAAGUGGUGUACAGGACACAGGGGUUCACGUACAGUACUGUGCAAAAGAUGUUCAUAAUCUAAUUUCUGUUCAAAAAUACCAGAGCCGGCGAUUUAAAAAAUUCAAGAAAAUACGACUCGGGUCUAAGCUGUUGUUGAGCCUUAUUUACGGCUCGGGU